rnacentral:rRNA from 1 species
GACGAACGCUGGCGGCGUGCCUAAUACAUGCAAGUAGAACGCUGAAGGAGGAGCUUGCUUCUCUGGAUGAGUUGCGAACGGGUGAGUAACGCGUAGGUAACCUGCCUGGUAGCGGGGGAUAACUAUUGGAAACGAUAGCUAAUACCGCAUAAUAGUAGAUGUUGCAUGACAUUUGCUUAAAAGGUGCAAUUGCAUCACUACCAGAUGGACCUGCGUUGUAUUAGCUAGUUGGUGGGGUAACGGCUCACCAAGGCGACGAUACAUAGCCGACCUGAGAGGGGGAUCGGCCACACUGGGACUGAGACACGGCCCAGACUCCUACGGAAGGCAGCAGUAGGGAAUCUUCGGCAAUGGACGGAAGUCUGACCGAGCAACGCCGCGUGAGUGAAGAAGGUUUUCGGAUCGUAAAGCUCUGUUGUAAUAGAAGAACGAGUGUGAGAGUGGAAAGUUCACACUGUGACGGUAUCUUACCAGAAAGGGACGGCUAACUACGUG